GCUUAGAGUUUGAUCCUGGCUCAGAUUGAACGCUGGCGGCAGGCUUAACACAUGCAAGUCGAGCGGAGAUGAGGUGCUUGCACCUUAUCUUAGCGGCGGACGGGUGAGUAAUGCUUAGGAAUCUGCCAUUUAGUGGGGGACAACAUUCCGAAAGGAAUGCUAAUACCGCAUACGUCCUACGGGAGAAAGCAGGGGAUCUUCGGACCUUGCGCUAAAUGAUGAGCCUAAGUCGGAUUAGCUAGUUGGUGGGGUAAAGGCCUACCAAGGCGACGAUCUGUAGCGGGUCUGAGAGGAUGAUCCGCCACACUGGGACUGAGACACGGCCCAGACUCCUACGGGAGGCAGCAGUGGGGAAUAUUGGACAAUGGGCGGAAGCCUGAUCCAGCCAUGCCGCGUGUGUGAAGAAGGCCUUUUGGUUGUAAAGCACUUUAAGCGAGGAGGAGGCUACUAGUACUAAUACUACUGGAUAGUGGACGUUACUCGCAGAAUAAGCACCGGCUAACUCUGUGCCAGCAGCCGCGGUAAUACAGAGGGUGCGAGCGUUAAUCGGAUUUACUGGGCGUAAAGCGUGCGUAGGCGGCUUUUUAAGUCGGAUGUGAAAUCCCCGAGCUUAACUUGGGAAUUGCAUUCGAUACUGGGAAGCUAGAGUAUGGGAGAGGAUGGUAGAAUUCCAGGUGUAGCGGUGAAAUGCGUAGAGAUCUGGAGGAAUACCGAUGGCGAAGGCAGCCAUCUGGCCUAAUACUGACGCUGAGGUACGAAAGCAUGGGGAGCAAACAGGAUUAGAUACCCUGGUAGUCCAUGCCGUAACGAUGUCUACUAGCCGUUGGGGCCUUUGAGGCUUUAGUGGCGCAGCUAACGCGAUAAGUAGACCGCCUGGGGAGUACGGUCGCAAGACUAAAACUCAAAUGAAUUGACGGGGGCC
rnacentral:rRNA from 1 species